ACAAAGAACAUUAUCCCUUUUCUCAGACUACACUAAGCUCCUUCCAGAAGCCAGACUUUUCUGUUCCCAGGCAGCAUGAAGAUUUCAUCUGGCUGCAUGAUGCUCUGGUUGAAACCGAGGACUAUGCUGGUCUGAUCAUCCCUCCAGCUCCCCCCAAGCCGGAUUUUGAGAGUCCAAGAGAUAAGAUGCACAAACUGGGGGAAGGUGAAGCCACUAUGACUAAAGAGGAA